rnacentral:tRNA from 1 species
UGGCUCAGUUGGUAGAGCAUGUGAUUCUUGAUCUUGGGGUCAUGAGUUCAAGACUCAU